AGGGAUCAUUACAGAGAACAUCGCCCUCACGGGUGACUCUCCAACCCUAUGUUAUACAACCUUUGUUGCUUUGGCGAGCCGCCUCGGCCGCUGGCUUCGGCUAGCGAGUGCUCGCCAGAGGACCCAAACUCUGAAUAUUAAUGUCGUCUGAGUACUAUAUAAUAGUUAAAACUUUCAACAACGGAUCUCUUGGUUCUG
rnacentral:misc_RNA from 1 species